rnacentral:rRNA from 1 species
GUGGGGAAUCUUAGACAAUGGGGGAAACCCUGAUCUAGCCAUGCCGCGUGAGCGAUGAAGGCCUUAGGGUUGUAAAGCUCUUUCAGCUGGGAAGAUAAUGACGGUACCAGCAGAAGAAGCCCCGGCUAACUCCGUGCCAGCAGCCGCGGUAAUACGGAGGGGGCUAGCGUUGUUCGGAAUUACUGGGCGUAAAGCGCGCGUAGGCGGACCAGAAAGUUGGAGGUGAAAUCCCAGGGCUCAACCUUGGAACUGCCUUUGAAACUCCUGGUCUUGAGGUCGAGAGAGGUGAGUGGAAUUCCGAGUGUAGAGGUGAAAUUCGUAGAUAUUCGGAGGAACACCAGUGGCGAAGGCGGCUCACUGGCUCGAUACUGACGCUGAGGUGCGAAAGCGUGGGGAGCAAACAGGAUUAGAUACCCUAGUAGUCC